UACGUAGGGGGCGAGCGUUGUCCGGAAUCAUUGGGCGUAAAGCGCGUGUAGGCGGCCCGGUAAGUCCGCUGUGAAAGUCCAGGGCUCAACCCUGGGAUGCCGGUGGAUACUGUCGGGCUCGAGUCCGGAAGAGGCGAGUGGAAUUCUUGGUGUAGCGGUGAAAUGCGUAGAUAUCAAGAGGAACACCUGAGGUGAAGACGGGUUGCUGGGCUGACACUGACGCUGAGGCGCGAAAGCCAGGGGAGCAAACGGG
rnacentral:rRNA from 1 species